rnacentral:rRNA from 1 species
CCGGCGCACGGGUGAGUAACACGUAUGCAAUCCACCUGUAACAGGGGGAUAACCCGGAGAAAUCCGGACUAAUACCCCAUAAUAUGGGCGCUCCGCAUGGAGAGCCCAUUAAAGAGAGCAAUUUUGGUUACAGACGAGCAUGCGCUCCAUUAGCCAGUUGGCGGGGUAACGGCCCACCAAAGCGACGAUGGAUAGGGGUUCUGAGAGGAAGGUCCCCCACAUUGGAACUGAGACACGGUCCAA